UGACGCGAACGAGAAAGGCGCAAGCCGAGUACAGUGGCGGACGGGUGAGUAACACGUGACUGACCCUCGAGACGGGGAUAACCGUGGGAAACUGCGGCUAAGACCCGAUGGUUCUGCGAACCUGCAUGGGUUUUCAGAUAAAUGUCCGGGACCUUUCGGGGCCGGAUGCUCGGGGAUGUGGUCACGGCCUACCAGCUAGUUGGCGGGGUAAUGGCCCACCAGGGCGACGACGGGUAGCCGGCCUGAGAGGGUGGUCGGCCACAUUGGGACUGAGACACUGCCCAGACUCCUACGGGAGGCUGCAGUCGAGGAUCUUCCGCAAUGGACGAAAGUCUGACGGAGCGACGCCGCGUGGAGGAUGAAGGCCUUCGGCUGGUAAACUCCUGUCUAGGGUUAUGAAAGUCUAGGAACAGUGCCUGGUAUGACGUAAGCCCUGGAGGAAGCACCGGCUAACUCUGUGCCAGCAGCCGCGGUAAUACAGAGGGUGCAAACGUUGUUCGGAAUCACUGGGCAUAAAGCGUACGUAGGCGGCGUCGUAAGUGUCGGAUGAAAUCCCACGGCUUACCCGUGGAACGGUCCGGCAUACUGCGGUGCUAGAGGAUGGUAGAGGAGAGCGGAACUCUUGGUGGAGCGGUGAAAUGCGUAGAUAUCAAGAGGAACACCGGUGGCGAAGGCGGCUCUCUGGUCCAUGUCUGACGCUGAGGUACGAAAGCCAGGGGAGCAAACGGGAUUAGAUACCCCGGUAGUCCUGGCCGUAAACGAUGGGCACUAACUAGAAGUCUCACCUGUGGGAUUUCUGGUGAAGCAAAUGUGAUAAGUGCCCCGCCUGGGGAAGUAUGGUCGCAAGGAUGGC
rnacentral:rRNA from 1 species